UCUCCCCCAUAGAGAUCAUUCCCAGUAUGAGAUUUAUUCCCCUGCAGUCCAUACAUCACCAGCCUGUGCACCUUCUCAUCCUCCCCUUCAGAUAACACUUAUCUUCUCUGUGAGGUCCUUCUCCUAUGCAGACCUGCGUCCUUAGAAUACAGAGCAGGGGGGAGGGGAGGGGAGGAGCUGUGUACUCAGCUGGAUGAGAUGAGGGGGCGUGGCUUAUUCCUCUCAUGCAGACAGAGGGGAAAAAAAAGCUGUGACAUCUUGUCCACCACAGACUCAGAACUGUGGACAACGGUAAAAGAAAACCCUCUGAACUACAGAACUUCCUGCCCAACAAACAGAGCGUGCACCAGUGCAUUUUAGAACAGUCAUCUCCCAUAGCAACCAUUCGCCUGGCCAACUUCUUUGCACCAGCCCGGUCAAUAUUUGCAUCAGUCAUACAGAGUAUUCAGCCUGAUACACACUGCAAUACUGCUCCUUUUAC